UCUGCUCAGACAUUCCACGACCAACAAACGGCGAUUAAGCAUGUUGAGUCGGGUGAAAACAAACGCCAACAGGGGUAACACACUGAUCCAACAGACUAGUUUGUUGGCGUUUGUCUGUGCGGUGUGAACUGGCCUUAAGGCUUCUGCGAGCGUGUAUGGCGUCUGGCUUCAGAACCUCACUGUGACUUCAGAUAAGAACAAAGAUUAAAUUGUAAGAAGGGUUGCUUAUAAAAGCAUACAGUACAUCUGAAACUGCUGAGACUGGUAAGGUUUUUGACUAUAUUUCCGACCAGGUACAUUGUUCUGUCAUUCUUAAAUAGAAAACAAAUCAUCAAUCAUCAAUCAUGAUUUGCCUUUUUCGUGUGUGUGCGUGUAAGAAAUAUUAACAUUUGUUGUUUUAUUAGAUCAGCUGCUAUAGAAGACAAAAUGAAAUCUGAGUGCAGAGACAAGCAAAGGAAUACUGCAAGACACUACUGACUAGGCUGUGCCCAGGUCUCCGGAACCUGCGAUGACGCUCCGCUCCAUUGGCCCUUAGUCUGCGGCUUCGGAUCCACCAGCUCUGUCUCCAUCGGUCGGCCCCCAGAUGUCGGCAGCCACACCAUCUACAUCUUGGCUCCUCCCUCCCUUUGAACUUUAUCAUCUUCAGUCUUUGUUCUAUUCACGUUACAUGUUUUUUUUUUUUCUUCAGAAAAUUGCAUUGUAAUUUUUAUUUAUUCAUUGAUGUAAAAUUCUUUACUUUUCAGUAAUACGGGUAUAACUGAAAUGUUCUACAAAUGGAUAAGAUAGCUCUUCCAUAGCAUUUCAGUCUUUUUUUCAUUUAUGUUUUUUGUAUAAUGUUUUAAAAUAUACUUGAGUAUGUUUGUAGUAAUACAAAAAUACUAUAAACAUACUUGUAUUUCAAGUGCAUUUUUAAUACAUUUAAUAGUAUGUUUUUUUUUUGUUUUUCACCGAAAUAUAUAUGCUGCUGUACUUUUUUAAAGUACUUCAUGAAUA